rnacentral:rRNA from 1 species
UAGGGAAUCUUGGACAAUGGGCGAAAGCCUGAUCCAGCCAUGCCGCGUGAGUGAUGAAGGCCCUAGGGUUGUAAAGCUCUUUCGCCCGGGAAGAUAAUGACGGUACCUGGAUAAGAAGCCCCGGCUAACUUCGUGCCAGCAGCAGCGGUAAUACGAAGGGGGCUAGCGUUGUUCGGAAUUACUGGGCGUAAAGCGCACGUAGGCGGUUUUCCAAGUUGGAGGUGAAAUCCCCGGGCUAAACCUGGGAACUGCCUCCAAGACUGGGAGACUCGAGUCCGAGAGAGGUGAGUGGAAUUUCCAGUGUAGAGGUGAAAUUCGUAGAUAUUGGAAAGAACACCAGUGGCGAAGGCGGCUCACUGGCUCAGUACUGACGCUGAGGAGCGACAGCGUGGGGAGCAAA